rnacentral:ncRNA from 4 species
CACGUAGGGGGCAAGCGUUGUCCGGAUUUAUUGGGCGUAAAGGGCUCGUAGGCGGUUCGACAAGUCGGGUGUGAAACCUCCAGGCUCAACCUGGAGUCGCCGCUCGAAACUGUUGUGACUAGAGUCCGGUAGAGGAGCAUGGAAUUUGUGGUGUAGCGGUGGAAUGCGCAGAUAUCACAAGGAACACCAGUAGCGAAGGCGAUGCUCUGGGCCGGUACUGACGCUGAGGAGCGAAAGCAUGGGGAGCGAACAGG